AACAAUGUAGGCUUAUGGAAAGAAUUGUUAAUAUUUAAUAACUUAAAAUAUAUAUAUUAUGAAUGCAAACAUAAUCCAUGGAAACAGAUUUUGGAAAAAGCUAAAACAUGUUAGCAUGAAGUUUGCAGGAUUUUCCGCCUGUAAUUUGUAAAUAAAAACAAAUUAAAGAGACGUAAAACAGAAGACAUUCCCUCUGUCCUCAGCAGUGGCUGUGUGAAGCCGUUAGUCAGAGAUCUUUUAAUCUGUGUGAGUCGUUACGCUAGAACAGAUUAGCUCUAUUAGCUCGCAGAUUAGCUUCAGUAGCUCUGCUAGCAGAAAAACUGAUUUCACCAAAAUGCAGACGCGUUAAACAGGUUCAGGUUCUCAGAAUGAGGAAGAGACUCAGUCUCCAGCUCAUCUCAUUGGCUCAAAACUAUUAGCUGCUUAGCUAGCAGCAUAAAGCUCGUUUCAACAGCUUCCUAUUUACCAGACAGUAAGAAAAGGGCAUCCAGAAGCAGAAGGUGGUAAAAACCAUCAGUCUCUCCAGCUCUCACUCACUGCUGCAGUCAUCAGGACUCCACUGGGCCUGGCUGAGUCAGAACCGGGUCACCGAGUCAGUGAGGAAGCAGGAAGAGUCUGAAUAUAAAGAGUCAUCCAUGCAGGUGUUGAAGUAAGAAGCUGAGCCUCUGACGUCACUUCCUGUGUCUUCAUCAGAGCAUGAAGGACGUCCACUCCACUGGUUAAAAAUCCAGGUAGAUCCAGCGUGAAGGUAAAAGUUCUGAUGUGGGUUUGAUCCGACGUAGAUCCUCCUCUGGUCUGCAGCACUGCGCCUCCUGCCACCUCCUCCUGACCGCUCUCUAAGACCUUAAUUAAAUUAAAGUCUUCUGCCUCCUGCUGACCUCAGAUGCACUCAGAGGAAUCUCCCACCAGACCGCUCAUUAAACCCUCAACGUUUUAAAGCCAUUUACUGAGA